GGGAUACAAAGACAAAACAUGUUUGUGCCAGCAAAGACCUAAUAUUAAGGGAAGGUAGCAUAAACAAAAACAGUUCCUUCUUUCUCCUGUAGUGACCCUUUGUGAUUUGUAAAGUAUAUAUCCCAAUAAGAUCCUCAGGGGUCUCCAAGUUUUCAAAUGCCAUAUUCUCAUUUGUUACCUCACCCCUCCCUCAUUAAAUGCUGUAAAGUAUGACUGAAAUUGUUAUAGACUCUUUCAGAAGCUUAGUUAUUAAUAAAUACAGAGCUAAAAAUCAACAGUAAGAUGCCUAUAAUGAAUUCUGCCACUAAGAGAAAAUGAAUACAAUCUCUUUCUUCACUUCUGCAAUAAGAUUAGCUGUGAUCUUAUAGGUGUCUAUAAACUCAAGGUGAUGGUGAUGGUUGCAGACCAUGAACUGAGCCACUAUAGAACUGGAAGUUCCACUUCUUUACCUCAAAUUUCUGUAUUCUUGUAUUUCUAUAUUUUGCUUUUUUUCUAAAUGACAGAUAAUGUAUAAUUGAUUGAUAGAAUAUGUGUAGAAUAAGUGCCACAUUAACGUGGAAACGAUAGAAAUGUCUGCAUUUUACUUGGUUUAUUUUACCCUCAUUUUGUGGAGAGAAAAAGAUACACAUUGGUUUCUUCCUAUUUUUCCCAGCUAUUGACCUGAAAAGUGGUUCUGGAAAAGUGUACCAAGGCCCUGCAAAAGGUGCUGCUGAUACAACAAUCAUACUUUCAGAUGAAGAUUUCAUGGAGGUGGUCCUGGGCAAGCUUGACCCUCAGAAGGCAUUCUUUAGUGGCAGACUGAAGGCCAGAGGGAACAUCAUGCUGAGCCAGAAACUUCAGAUGAUUCUUAAAGACUAUGCCAAGCUCUGAAGGGCACACUACACUAUUAAUAAAAAUGGAAUCAUUAAAUACUCUCUUCACCCAAAUAUGCUUGAUUAUUCUGCAAAAGUGAUUAGAACUAAGAUGCAGGGGAAAUUGGUUAACAUUUUCAGAUAUCAGAUAACUGCAGAUUUCCAUUUUCUACUAAUUUUUCAUGUAUCAUUAUUUUUACAAGGAACUAUAUAUAAGCUAGCAUAUAAUUAUCCUUCUGUUCGUAGAUCUGUAUCUUCAUAAUAAAAAAAUUUUGCCC
rnacentral:sRNA from 1 species